GGGGAAUCUUGCGCAAUGGGCGAAAGCCUGACGCAGCCAUGCCGCGUGAAUGAUGAAGGUCUUAGGAUUGUAAAAUUCUUUCACCGGGGACGAUAAUGACGGUACCCGGAGAAGAAGCCCCGGCUAACUUCGUGCCAGCAGCCGCGGUAAUACGAAGGGGGCUAGCGUUGCUCGGAAUUACUGGGCGUAAAGGGAGCGUAGGCGGACAUUUAAGUCAGGGGUGAAAUCCCGGGGCUCAACCUCGGAAUUGCCUUUGAUACUGGGUGUCUUGAGUAUGAGAGAGGUGUGUGGAACUCCGAGUGUAGAGGUGAAAUUCGUAGAUAUUCGGAAGAACACCAGUGGCGAAGGCGACACACUGGCUCAUUACUGACGCUGAGGCUCGAAAGCGUGGGGAGCAAA
rnacentral:rRNA from 1 species